CCUACGGGUGACAGCAGUGAGGAAUAUUGGUCAAUGGACGCAAGUCUGAACCAGCCAUGCCGCGUGCAGGAAGACGGCCCUAUGAGUUGUAAACUGCUUUUGUACGGGGGUAAACGCAGAUACGCGUAUCUGUCUGAAAGUAUCGUACGAAUAAGGACCGGCUAACUCCGUGCCAGCAGCCGCGGUAAUACGGAGGGUUCAGGCGUUAUCCGGAUUUAUUGGGGUUAAAGGGUGCGUAGGCGGUCGGAUAAGUUAGAGGUGAAAUCCCGGGGCUCAACUUCGGAAAUGCCUUUGAAACUGUUCGGCUAGAGGGUAGGUGCGGUAGGCGGAAUGUAUGGUGUAGCGGUGAAAUGCUUAGAGAUCAGGCAGAACACCGAUUGCGAAGGCAGCUUACCAAGCUACGUCUGACGUUGAGGCACGAAAGCGUGGGGAGCAAACAGGAUUAGAUACCCCGGUAGUC
rnacentral:rRNA from 1 species